rnacentral:rRNA from 1 species
AUUGAACGCUGGCGGCAGGCCUAACACAUGCAAGUCGAACGAGUGGCGGACGGGUGAGUAAUGUCUGGGAAACUGCCUGAUGGAGGGGGAUAACGACGGGAAACGGUAGCUAAUACCGCAUACCAUCAGAUGUGCCCAAGUGGGAUUAGCUAGUUGGUGGGGUAACGGCUCACCAAGGCGACGAUCCCUAGCUGGUCUGAGAGGAUGACCAGCCACACUGGAACGGAGACACGGCCCAGACUCCUACGGGAGGCAGCAGUGGGGAAUAUUGCGCAAUGGGCGCAACCCUGAUGCAGCCAUGCCGCGUGUAUGAAGAAGGCCUUCGGGUUGUAAAGUACUUUCAGCGAGGAGGCGUUACCCGCAGAAGAAGCACCGGCUAACUCCGUGCCAGCAGCCGCGGUAAUAC